UGGCUAACGGGUGAGUAACACGUGAGCAACCUGCCCUUGACUUUGGGAUAACUUCAGGAAACUGGGGCUAAUACCGGAUAGGAGCUCCUGCUGCAUGGUGGGGGUUGGAAAGUUUCGGCGGUUGGGGAUGGACUCGCGGCUUAUCAUCUUGUUGGUGGGGUAGUGGCUUACCAAGGCUUUGACGGGUAGCCGGCCUGAGAGGGUGACCGGCCACAUUGGGACUGAGAUACGGCCCAG
rnacentral:rRNA from 1 species